rnacentral:rRNA from 1 species
GACGAACGCUGGCGGCGUGCCUAAUACAUGCAAGUUGAGCGAUGAAGAUUGGUGCUUGCACCAAUUUGAAGAGCAGCGAACGGGUGAGUAACGCGUGGGGAAUCUGCCUUUGAGCGGGGGACAACAUUUGGAAACGAAUGCUAAUACCGCAUAACAACUUUAAACAUAAGUUUUAAGUUUGAAAGAUGCAAUUGCAUCACUCAAAGAUGAUCCCGCGUUGUAUUAGCUAGUUGGUGAGGUAAAGGCUCACCAAGGCGAUGAUACAUAGCCGACCUGAGAGGGUGAUCGGCCACAUUGGGACUGAGACACGGCCCAAACUCCUACGGGAGGCAGCAGUAGGGAAUCUUCGGCAAUGGACGAAAGUCUGACCGAGCAACGCCGCGUGAGUGAAGAAGGGUUUCGGAUCGUAAAACUCUGUUGGUAGAGAAGAACGUUGGUGAGAGUGGAAAGCUCAUCAAGUGACGGUAACUACCCAGAAGGGGACGGCUAACUACGUG